rnacentral:rRNA from 1 species
UACGUAGGGGGCAAGCGUUGUCCGGAAUCAUUGGGCGUAAAGCGCGUGUAGGCGGCUUGGUAAGUCUGGUGUGAAACCUCGGGGCUCAACCCCGAGCCUGCACUGGAUACUGCCUCGCUCGAGUCCGGGAGGGGAGAGCGGAAUUCCUAGUGUAGCGGUGAAAUGCGCAGAUAUCAGGAGGAACACCGGUGGCGAAGGCGGAUCUCUGGGCCUUACCUGACGCUCAGGUGCGAAAGCUAGGGGAGCGAACAGG